CCUACGGGUGGCAGCAGUAGGGAAUAUUGCUCAAUGGGGGAAACCCUGAAGCAGCAACGCCGCGUGGAGGAUGAAGGUUUUCGGAUUGUAAACUCCUUUUGUUAGAGAAGAUAAUGACGGUAUCUAACGAAUAAGCAACGGCUAACUCCGUGCCAGCAGCCGCGGUAAUUCGGAGGGUGCAAGCGUUACUCGGAAUCACGGGGCGUAAAGAGGGCGUAGGCGGGAUAGCAAGUCAGAUGUGAAAUCCUAUGGCUUAACCAUAGAACUGCAUUUGAAACUGUUAUUCUAGAGUAUGGGAGAGGUAGGUGGAAUUCUUGGUGUAGGGGUAAAAUCCGUAGAGAUCAAGAGGAAUACUCAUUGCGAAGGCGGCCUGCUAGAACAUAACUGACGCUGAUGCGCGAAAGCGUGGGGAGCAAACAGGAUUAGAUACCCCAGUAGUC
rnacentral:rRNA from 1 species